rnacentral:ncRNA from 1 species
GAAAGCGAUAAACACACCGCCUGGGGAGUACGACCGCAAGGUUAAAACUCAAAUGAAUUGACGGGGACCCGCACAAGUAGUGGAGCAUGUGGUUUAAUUCGAAGAUACGCGCAGAACCUUACCAACACUUGACAUGUUCGUCGCGACUUUGAGAGAUUAAAGUUUUCGGUUCGGCCGGACGAAACACAGGUGCUGCAUGGCUGUCGUCAGCUCGUGUCGUGAGAUGUUGGGUUAAGUCCCGCAACGAGCGCAACCCUCACUUUUAGUUGCCAUCAUUAAGUUGGGCACUCUGAAAGAACUGCCAGUGAUAAGCUGGAGGAAGGUGGGGAUGACGUCAAGUCCUCAUGGCCCUUACGUGUUGGGCUACACACGU